rnacentral:rRNA from 1 species
AUGGCGCUGCUCCGCCUCCACCUGCUCCGGCCGCCGCCUGCUCCGCUCGCCGCCUUCUCCUCCCCCUGGCGCCGCGCCCUCCCAACCACCAGACCCGCUGCACCCGCCUCCCGCCUCCUCUGCUCCAACCACCCCGCCGCCCCCUCCUCCCCCUCGCCCUCCAUCGUCGGCGGCCUGCUUGACUACCUCAACGAGUCGUGGACGCAGUUCCACGCCACCGCCGAGGCCAAGAGGCAGCUGCUCGCGGCGGGGUUCGAGCUGCUCAGCGAGAACGACGACUGGAACCUGCAGCCAGGUGGCCGCUACUUCUUCACGCGCAACAUGUCCUGCCUGGUCGCCUUUGCAGUCGGGGAAAAGUACAGAGUUGGUAAUGGUUUCAAUAUAAUUGCAGCCCACACUGAUAGUCCAUGCCUCAAGCUGAAACCGAGAUCUGCUUCCAUCAAAUCCGGCCAUCAAAUGGUAGGUGUACAGACAUAUGGAGGUGGGUUGUGGCACACAUGGUUUGAUAGAGAUCUAACUUUGGCUGGGCGAGUCAUCCUCAAGGCUCCAGAUGGUUCAUUUAAGCAUAAGCUUGUCAAAGUGAACAGACCACUCAUUCGCGUACCAACACUGGCUAUACAUCUCGACCGCACAGUGAAUUCUGAAGGAUUCAAGCCUAAUCUAGAGAGUCAUCUGGCUCCACUUCUUGCAACAAAAUGUGAAGAGACCACUGUCAAUUUUGAUGACAAAAAAGGUUCAAGUUCCACAAAGACUGUCCAUCAUCCACUACUAUUGCAAGUUCUUUCAGAAGAAAUCGGUUGUGGAUCAGAUGAAAUUAUUGGUAUGGAGUUGAACGUGUGUGAUACCCAACCUAGCUGCCUUGGUGGGGGGAAGAAUGAGUUCAUUUAUUCUGGUAGAUUGGAUAAUCUCGCUUCAUGUUACUGUGCCCUUAAAUCCCUCAUGGACUCUUCCAAGAUGCCAGAAGAUUUGUCCAACGAGAAGGGUAUAAGAAUGAUUGCUCUGUUUGAUAACGAAGAGGUUGGUUCAAAUUCGAUGCAAGGGGCAGGUGCACCAACCAUAUUCCAGGCCAUGAGACGAAUUGUUGACUCCUUGAUGCAUCAGUCCAUGGGGGAGGGGGCUUUAGAGCGUGCACUAACUUCUUCUUUCCUUGUUUCCGCAGAUAUGGCUCAUGCCCUGCACCCAAACUAUCCAGACAAGCAUGAAGAGUACCACAGACCAGAACUACAAAAAGGACUUGUUAUCAAGCAUAAUGCUAACCAGCGUUAUGCCACAAGUGCUGUAACAGCUUUUCUCUUCAAAGAAAUAGCUCGAAUUCAUAACCUUCCCGUCCAGGAAUUUGUUGUAAGGAAUGAUAUGGGUUGUGGCUCAACUAUCGGUCCCAUACUUGCUUCUGGUGUCGGCAUACGGACUGUUGAUUGUGGUAUUCCUCAGCUUUCCAUGCACAGCGUUCGGGAAAUGUGUGGCAAAGAAGACAUAGACACGACAUACAAGCACUUCAAAGCUUUCUUCGAGAUGUUCUCGGACAUUGACCAGAAACUGAAUGUAGAUUUUUAG